rnacentral:lncRNA from 1 species
UACCUAAGCAAGCAUUGAGUUUCGCAUCAAAAAGUAUGAAGGACGAAGAAGCUUUGUUGUAAAGCUAGUUUUAACUCGUAGCCUAUUUGAUUCAAACAAGUAGGUCCGAGAGGUAUUCUAUACCUAGUGCCUUAAAGUCAUCUGAUUUGGAAGUUAUUGGUUGAAAACUCGCUACAUGGGUUAAACAGAAAGCUUAAGGGGUUAAGACACUCAAUAGUGGUACAAUAUAAUAAUAAUAAUAAUAAUAAAUGAAGG